ACCUUUCAGUUUUACCGAAGAUGAAAUUUUCCAGAAUCCCAAAGAAGAUGAAUAAUGGAUCAGGAAUGGCUUGAACCUGUGUCAAAGUCAGAUAUUUGAUAUUAUUUAUCAACUUAGUUAGAAAUCCUAUCUUCAGAAGAACUCCUCCAUGGAGGUCAUUGAAAAACACAGUUUUUGCAUCAGAUGAAUAAGCUCCUUGAGGACAAACGCUGAAUCACCUUUACAUCUUUUGAGAAUCACAAAUUUUCUACAUAAGCACUUUAUAAAUAUUUGUCAGAUGGCUGAGCAAGCAUCAAAGAGAUACAUGUUAUGAAGAAUAAGAAUAAGAAAGAAAAAAGAACACAGAAAAAUAAAGUACAUAGUAGAAUAACCCAAGUUAAACAAAUACAUCUUGUUUCAAGUCAUGAAAAUCAAACAGCAAUCUAUUUAUCAUAGCGUAUGAGAAUUACAAAAAUUUCUUUAUUAAAUUCACAUUCUUUGGUCUUCUCAGUCUAGGCACAGUUAGCAGUAGUCUUGGGGGGUAGUAUAGAAUAAAAAGAAAAUAAUAUAAUUUCUAAGGUACCUUGACUCUAAACUGCAAAAUCUAUUGAUUACAACCUUGGACUUAUAAGUGGAAAUAGUAUAGUAGGAUAUCCUUCUGUGUCACUGAUAAAAUAGUUCUCUUAUUCUGAGUCACAAAAGUGCACUUCGUCCAAUAAAAUUCUGUAUUAUGUGGAAAAUAUUUCAUUACUUGAGACAAAUGCAAAAGGAAAAACAAAGUUUUAUCUGCCAGGACUUCAAAUACUUUGAGUCCUCCUCAAAUUUGUGAAUUUUGGUUGCAAAAGAAACACACACUAAUGUAGAAUCCCAUUGUUGCUCACCCUCAUUGCUUAUGGGGCCAUUAGUUAAAAAGUUAGAAGUCUUCUCACUCUGCAUUCUUCUCCAUAGUUACUAUGAAAACUUUUCUUCCCACUACUUACUAUGACCAUUUUCCUCUACAAAUUUACAAAGAAUAAACAAC